rnacentral:rRNA from 1 species
AUUCCCUACGGGAGGCAGCAGUGGGGAAUAUUGCACAAUGGGGGAAACCCUGAUGCAGCAACGCCGCGUGAGUGAAGAAGUCAUUCGUGAUGUAAAGCUCUAUCAGCAGGGAAGAGAAUGACGGUACCUGACCAAGAAGCCCCGGCUAAAUACGUGCCAGCAGCCGCGGUAAUACGUAUGGGGCAAGCGUUAUCCGGAUUUACUGGGUGUAAAGGGAGCGUAGGCGGCAGGGCAAGCCUGAUGUGAAAGCCCGGGGCUCAACCCCGGGACUGCAUUGGGAACUGCCCCGCUCGAGUGCCGGAGGG